AACGCACAUUGCGCCCACUGGUAUUCCGGUGGGCAUGCCUGUUCGAGCGUCAUUAUCCUCCCUCAAAACUCCUGUUUUGGUGUUGGGCCGCGUUGGUCACCUCCGACCAACGGGCCUUAAAGACAAUGACGGCGUCCGUGGGACCCUCUUCGCAGUGAGCUUUUGUUAGCGCGCGUUGAGUUUAAAGGACCUUCCGGGCCGGCCACCUUUUAUCUAUUUUACAAGGUUGACCUCGGAUCAGGUAGGAAUACCCGCUGAACUUAA
rnacentral:misc_RNA from 1 species